AUUAGAGUUUGAUUCCAUGGCUCAGGAUGAACGCUAGCGGUGCGCCUAACACAUGCAAGUCGAGCGAGAAAUUUCUAAAAGCUUGCUUUUAGAAAUGGACAGCGGCGAACGGGUGAGUAACACGUUGGUAUCUGCCCCUAGGUCAGGGAUAGCCCAUUGAAAAGUGGAUUAAUACCGGAUAGUCUCGAAAGAGUAAAGAUUUAUUGCCUAGGGAGGAACCUGCGUCCUAUCAGCUAGUUGGUGAGGUAGAAGCUCACCAAGGCUAUGGCGGGUAGCUGGUCUGAGAGGAUGAACAGCCACAAUGGAACUGAGACACGGUCCAUACUCCUACGGGAGGCAGCAGUGAGGAAUCUUCCACAAUGGACGAAAGUCUGAUGGAGCGACACCGCGUGAAGGAUGAAGGUCUAACGAUUGUAAACUUCUUUUCUGAGGGAGCACAAAUGA
rnacentral:rRNA from 1 species